rnacentral:rRNA from 1 species
CCUACGGGAGGCAGCAGUAGGGAAUCUUGCUCAAUGGACGAAACCCUGACGCAGCAACGCCGCGUGGGGGAUGAAGGUUUUCGGAUUGUAAAAUCCUUUUGUUAGAGAAGAUAAUGACGGUAUCUAACGAAUAAGCACCGGCUAACUCCGUGCCAGCAGCCGCGGUAAUACGGCGGGUGCAAGCGUUACUCGGAUUCACUGGGCGUAAGGGGCGCGUAGGCGGGUUAGCAAGUCAGAUGUGAAAUCCUAUGGCUUAACCAUAGAACUGCAUUGGAAACUGUUAUUCUAGAGUAUAGGAGAGGUAGGUGGAAUUCUUGGUGUAGGGGUAAAAUCCGUAGAGAUCAAGAGGAAUACUCAUUGCGAAGGCGACCUGCUAGAACAUAACUGACGCUGAUGCGCGAAAGCGUGGGGAGCAAACAGGAUUAGAUACCCGAGUAGUC